GUGAAAGGUCACAGAUUGACAGCCCUGUUUAUUCACAGAAGGGAUACAGCUUGGGCAGCAGCAGUGCAAGCUUUCCCUACCUUGCUCCAUCCGUGUGCCUUUGCCAUCUCAAUGGAUGAGGGUAGUUAAGUGUCAAAUGCUGACUCGGUCAUUGGCUUCU
rnacentral:sRNA from 1 species